CCCCUGCGGCUUUCUGUCUAAGGUGGCGGUGCUCUGGGCAGUCCCGCCGUACAUGACCAAAUAAAAGGACAUUGAGGUGUGUGUGUGUACCUGGUCCCCCUGCGGCUUUCUGUCUAAGGUGGCGGUGCUCUGGGCAGUCCCGCCGUACAUGACCAAAUAAAAGGACAUUGAGGUGUGUGUGUGUACCUGGUCCCCCUGCGGCUUUCUGUCUAAGGUGGCGGUGCUCUGGGCAGUCCCGCCGUACAUGACCAAAUAAAAGGACAUUGAGGUGUGUGUGUGUACCUGGUCCCCCUGCGGCUUUCUGUCUAAGGUGGCGGUGCUCUGGGCAGUCCCGCCGUACAUGACCAAAUAAAAGGACAUUGAGGUGUGUGUGUGUACCUGGUCCCCCUGCGGCUUUCUGUCUAAGGUGGCGGUGCUCUGGGCAGUCCCGCCGUACAUGACCAAAUAAAAGGACAUUGAGGUGUGUGUGUACCUGGUCCCCCUGCGGCUUUCUGUCUAAGGUGGCGGUGCUCUGGGCAGUCCCGCCGUACAUGACCAAAUAAAAGGACAUUGAGGUGUGUGUGUGUACCUGGUCCCCCUGCGGCUUUCUGUCUAAGGUGGCGGUGCUCUGGGCAGUCCCGCCGUACAUGACCAAAUAAAAGGACAUUGAGGUGUGUGUGUGUACCUGGUCCCCCUGCGGCUUUCUGUCUAAGGUGGCGGUGCUCU